rnacentral:tRNA from 1 species
GCAUUCAUGGUGUAAUGGUAGCACACUCGGCGUGUAUUCCAGAGGUCCAUGUUCGAGUCACGGUGAUGGCA